AGUGAUGGUGACACAGUAGUGAUGGUACAGUGAACUAGAGUGUCAACACAACACCACAGUAGUGAUGGUACAGUGAACUAGAGUGUCAACACAACACCACAGAAGUGAUGGUGACACAGUAGUGAUGGUACAGUGAACUAGUGUCAACACAACACCACAGUAGUGAUGGUGACAAAGUAGUGAUGGUACAGUGAACUAGUGUCAACACAACACCACAGUAGUGAUGGUGACACAGUAGUGAUGGUACAGUGAACUAGAGUGUCAACACAACACCACAGUAGUGAUGGUGACACAGUAGUGAUGGUACAGUGAACUAGAGUGUCAACACAACACCACAGUAGUGAUGGUGACACAGUAGUGAUGGUACAGUGAACUAGAGUGUCAACACAACACCACAGUAGUGAUGACACAGU